CAACCCUACAAAUUUCGAGGACAAAAUUUUUGUAAGGAGGGGGGAAAUUGUAACAACUUAAUUUCAUUUCCCUACCUUCCUUGUGGACAAGUAGGAUACCAGGCAGAGAGGGCCAAUACUAGCAUGGGCUAUCAGGUAAAAUAUAUCUAUAAUAGGGGUUAGGUGUAAUAGAGAGUGUUAUAGACUAAAGAGGGUUGGUUUUAAUCCAACCUGUGGGAGAGCAAUGGGAAUGACAGGCAGGCCUGUUAGCUUGGCAGAAUCAGGAUUUCUGAUUUUGUGGGCCCCACUCACACACUUUAAGUAUUUUGAAGAUAGAAUAAGUUAAUAAUACAUAUAAACAGAAGUUAGGAAUAAUUACAUCCUUAAAUGUAAUUAUAUAAUUUAAUAUAUAUAAUAUAAUAUAAUAUAUGUGAUUUACACCAAAGGCCAUAUGUUGAGUUGGUUAAGAGAGGGAUAUAAAUGCUGGGGUAUUCGGUGGAGACCCCUUUUAACUCUCAAACCUGAAAACAUCAAGAAGGGAAAAGGGAGAAAGAAGAAGGAAGGAGAAGGAAGAAGAAAAGAGAGAAAGGGACCACCGAACAGCAGCUCAAACCUCUACUAUACCUUGCGUAACAAGCACAAGAAAAGAGAAAGAAGAAAAUGGAGAAGAGAAGAGAAGGAAAUCAAGAGGAAAUUGAGGUUUUGGGAUAGCAGCUGUUUGAUUCUUCCUCCAGAUGCCGAGGCCACAUUCUUUGUGGCAUACUAUUUUCAGAUGAUGGAAACCGGUGCUGAGGCAGGAGUGGACUUUAGCAGCUAUUGUGAAGCUUAUGUUGGGAUUUCGAUGGGCUUCACUAUUUUUUAGUUCCUUCUUCUUGAUGUAUAUAUUUAUGGAUGUGUAGUAAGUAGUAUUGUAGCUUGUGGUUGUUUUCAAAUAUGCAAAUUGUAUAAUGUAAUUUAUCACUUUAGUACAUCACAGUGAUAUUUAUGAGACUUUAUUAGCAUAUUCUGAUUUUA